CCCGCCGCGUCCCUGUCUCGUCCCGCCGCGUUCCCACUGUCUCCACUCUCACACAAACCGCCCCCCUCCCGGCCCCCCUCCGCUGCAGGGAAAUGCAGGAGAACGCGAAAGCAUCGGGGCAGAGCAGCCGCUGGAGGUGCCCGAGCCGUCUCCCCCUUGCCCGCAGGGCCGGAGUUGCCCACCGCCGGGAGCUGACAGGUCCGUGCAGGAGAGUGGGAGAAGGGUCCCUGCUGGCUGCCAUGUCCUGGGUGGGCACAGAGCUCUGACCUUGGCCAGAUGGGCUGGUUUCCGGGUGUUUUGAUCCUGACGUCGCCAAAGCCUCAGAUUUGCUGAACUGGGGCUCUUACCUGUGUGACCCGUGAAAUGUCCCGGAAGCUGAUCGAUGUCUUUGUGCUCCCGCUGUGUUCAUUUGGGCUGUGCUUCAGGCUUCUCUCCCGGGGCCCUUGCCGUUGCUGUAUCUCUUGGAUGCCGUGCAGAACGGAAUCAGGCAGCCAAGCCUCAGGUUCACCUUCUCCCUCACCCUCUGCGCUGCUCGUGUGGCACAGCAGAUCCUGAAGCCAGGUACUGGAACGUGCUGCGUGUGUCACUGCUGGGGUGAAAAACAGAGCCCUGGGGAGUGUUGAUCCCCUCACCUGCUCUCUGCUC